UACAGAGGUCCCAAGCGUUGUUCGGAUUCACUGGGCGUAAAGGGUGCGUAGGUGGUGAGGUAAGUCGGAUGUGAAAUCUCCGAGCUCAACUCGGAAAUGGCAUUGGAAACUACCUUGCUCGAGGGUUGGAGGGGGGGGACUGAAUGCUUGGUGUAGCAGUGAAAUGCGUAGAUAUCAAGUGGAACACCAGUGGCGAAGGCGAGUCCCUGGACAAGACCUGACACUGAGGCACGAAAGCCAGGGAGCAAACAGG
rnacentral:rRNA from 1 species